CAGUAAUUAAGGACAGGGUGGACAUAAGUUUGAGAAGCGUGACCUAUUUUCUUUUGAUCAGCUGUCAAAAGAAGAGCAGGGGGUCUCCUUAAGACAGCCCCCUUCAACCACUUCCAGCUGUUAGAGAAAACUUGAUAAGAAAACAAGGGCAGAGCUCGGAAUACUGUAUGUCCCUUCUUGGUGCCAGAGAAAGGUUUGAUUCAUUUGGAAAACAGUUCUUAGUCUCAGUGACCUUUUCUGCCGCCCUCCUCUCUCUUCUUGCUUCAGAGCAACACCCCCACCCCCACCCUGUCACAUGAAUGUACAGUGACGUUAUUCAUAGAUCAACUUCAUUGAGCUCUGGCCAAUACGCUGCCAAUUAUUCUUUCAAAUAGCGUCUUCUCUGUGUUAUCAAAGCCUGAGUAAGAAAGCGGCAGAUCCUCUGGUUUGCCAGACAUACUUUUCUGGUUGCUCACAUCUCUAGUGUCACAACAGGAGCCAGUGUACCCUGGACGACAUUGUUACAUGUGCUUUCCCAAAUCCACGGACUUCUGGCUGAUCCGGGGUUGCAAUAUGCACUGCACCACCAUCCUCUCUCUUGGAAAUUCCCUUCGGCUGGGAAAGAAAUGGAUGAUCAAGGUCAGUGGUUUCCAACCAGGCUGAACAUCAGAAUCCACAGGAAUGAUGCUAAGCCCCAUUUCACCUCUGAGACUUUCAGGUUCAAGCGUCUGGAAUGGGGCCACAGAUCUGAAUUUUUAAAGAAGGGUUCUGGUUGACUCUGACAGUUACAUUAAAUGAGUAUAUUUUGGAACCACCAGGCUGAGUGGCCUUAAAAUUUUCUUCAAGAACUAAGGCUCCAGGGCAGGAGGGUACUAGGGAAACUGCCUGGCCACCUGACCCUUCUCUGAUCUCCUCACUCUCUCAGGUGACCCCUUCCUGGACCUAGCAUCCCUCAACUUUUCUGACUUCCCUGGACCAGGCUGGGAACUCACAUUCUCUUCUAGAGAAUAGAAUGCAAUAGAGUUGAUGGGAUGUCACUUUUGAUAUUAGUAUGUAAAAAGGCUGUGCACUCUCUCUUGCCUUCUCACUUGCUUUGAGGGAAGCCCACUGCCAUGUUGCAAGUUGCCCUGUGAAGAGGCCUCCAUGACAAGGAACUGUAGGGUCCCCUGGACAACAGCCAGCAAGGCAAUGAGACCCUUAGUCUCAUCAAUAGUCUACGAGGAACUGAAUCUUGCAAGAACCACAUGGAUGAGGUUGCAAGGUCCAAUUAGAUAAACUCAUCCUCGCUGGCAGAUAAUGGCACCAAUGUGAUCAUCCUCCUAGAGGUAUUUUCAUCUUGGUAUGGAGCCUCCAGAGCUAUCUUUGCUUGAAAGAAUGAAACUUCAGGAAUGAAAGUUUGCACAUAAAGCAAGCCCAUGAGAAAGACAUUUCGGGAAAACUAGAAUCCUGUUAAGUUAUGGGAUUUUUUUCAAGCCACAUGGUUGAUAAGUAGUCUGACCAGGAUCCUGGAGCAACACAAGGAAGACAAGGACCCUUGAAGACAAGGCAGCCUUGAAACCAAAUGAAGCCCUGGGCCAGUGAGCAUGGCAAGAGGAAGACUGUUAAUUGCGAGAAAGCUGGGUCUUGAAGAUGAUUCCAUAUCAACAUACAGGGAGUUCCACCACUGAAUGGUCUAUCGGUUGGGAAUGCCAUCAUUUAUUUUCACCAGUGGGGAAGAAUUGGUAUUAAUAUCAAAACCACAGUACUGUCAUACCCAGCUAUAAUUUGCAAUGUUUAUAUGCCUGCUGGAGUGCAAUGACAUGAUUAUGGACCUUCAGGGAUUGAGCAGCUCGACAUCCCAAGGAUCAAGCAAUCCUCCGGCCUCAGCCUACCAAGUAGCUGGGACUACAGCCAUUUGACACCCCACCCAGUUAAUUUUUGUUUUUUGUUUUUUUGUAAAGACAAGGUUUAGCCAUGUUGCCCAGGCUGGUCUGGAACCCCUGGGUUCAAGCAAUCCUCCCACCUCAGCUUCCCAAAGUGCUGGGAUUAUAGGCAUAAGCCACUGCACCCAGCAUAAAUAAUCUCUUAUUUGUUCAUCCAUGGUGUUGUCUUUAGUUUUUAAAAAUGGAUCCUUUUGUUAUUCUUUUAUAGCCCCAGAUUAAGAAUUUGUCCAAGUUUUGUAUAUUUUUUCAGUUAUUUCAAUAUCAAAGCCCAGCACAUCUUUAAAAUCACUUCUAUGUAUAGAUAUUAACCUUUUUGACAUUUGUGUUUUGGUAUUCCAUAUUUACUCAGUUCUCCUUUCACACCCUCCCUUUAGAAGAGGAGUAUGACCAUGGCAGGAUGGAGGGGUAGUGGCAGUAGGGGCCAUAGUAUGUUUUCUAUAUUUAUCCAGCAUAUUUAAAACAUGGUAUUCUAGCUUCAAGGGAGAACAUUGAACUCCCAUUUGGACAUGUUAAGUUGAAGAUGUCUGUUAGACACCCAAGAGAAUAUGUCAAGCAGAUAUCAUCUGCCCUUGUUUUUCCUUUUCCAAACUGGCUCUCCUUAGUUCCAUCUCCAGAUGACAUGGUCCUCAAACCCUUUGUGAUCUUGGUUCUCUACUCCAGUUCUUCAAUGUUUUUCUUGAAUGUGGCACCCAGAAUUAAAUAGAGCACCCCAGAUAAUGGCUGCCCAGCAGGAUAGACAUGUGUUUGUUAUAUAAUUCUUAGAGACUAUAGCUGACGUCACUGGUGCCCAGCCCAUAUCUUCUUGAGCCCUAGCAUUUUCGUGCAUGGUGGCCUGAUUUCUAACUGUCAGCACCUAAAUAUCUUUGCCUGAGGACUUUCUCUGUCGGCCAGAGCCUGCUUUGUGCACAGUCAGAAGUGCCAAGGAGUCAACACUCCCCAAAGGAGUCUUCAGCCAGUAACGAAAUGAAAGGUGGAGUAUAAAAACCCCAGCUCCCUCACCACUCAGCUGGGGUAGCCCUGAGAUUCAUGCUCUCCACCCUCUUCAGAGUUUCCCGGCAGCAUCAUGUUCCUGUUACCCUUCUCACUACUGACUUGAUGCUCAUCCUUUCUUGGCUCCUUCCCUGUGUCACUUCCCCCAUCCCAUAUGGGAGAAGGCUUCCUGGGUUCACCUUCCAAAGUAAUUACUGGUACUGGAAUUCUCAUCUCAAGUUUUGCCUUAGGGUCACCCAAACUAAGACAGUGCCUAAUGCUGCAUCAGCUUUCUUACCAGUCACAUGAUGCUGUUGUAUCCUUAAUGUCAGAUAAACUCCCAGCUUCUUUUUAUGUCAACUGCUACCAAGCCACACAUUCUCAGUGCUGUGCCUUUGUUAUUGAUUUUUUAACCUAAACUCAGAGUUUAUGUUUAUUCCUGUUAUACUCUUAAGUUUUUUUCCAUAUUCCAACCUAACAGAAUAACUUUGAAUAUUGAUUUGUUCUUUCGUUGUGUUAACUAUCCCUUCCAGACAUGAGUCAUAUGUAGAAAUCUGAUAAGCAUGUUUCCUGUGCCUUCAUUCACUUAAAACAAACAAACAAACAAACUUUGAACAAGGUAGGGUUAGGAAAAGAAUUCUAAACUCAAUUCCUCCCAUUGUUCAAUAAUCAAGAUUCUUUCAGUAAGAAUGCUUAUUGGUAGUGAUUCAAACUAUCUGCACCAGUUCAACCCAGAAUUUACAAAUUUGCCCAUAGGAAUAUCAGGCAAGCUCAGCUCAGUUGCUUUGCUAGAAUAGAGAAGAUCCACAAUUAUGUCAUGCCUCUGAUACAUGAGCCUAUAACCUUAUCAGAAAGGAAAUAUGGUUCAUUUGGCUUGUUAUUAGCAAUUUUAUUUUAACCACUAAGAACCUCUGAAUUCAUUUCUAAAACCCUCCAAUCUUCCUUUUAUUUUCUUUUAUUUAUAUAUAUAUAUUUUUAUUUUAUUUUACUUUAUUUUUGAGACAGAGUCUCACUCUGUCACCAGGCUGGAGUGCAGUGGCAUGAUCUCGGCUCACUGCAACCUCUGCAUCCCGGGUUCAAGCAAUUCCUCUGCCUCAGCCUCCCAAGUAGCUGGGAAUACAGGUGCACACCACCAUGCCCAGCUAAUUUUUGUAUUUUUAGUAGAGAUGGUGUUUCACCAUGUUGGCCAGGAUGGUCUCGAUCUCUUGACCUUGUGAUCUGCCCACCUCGGCCUCCCAAAGUGCUGGGAUUACAGGCGUGAGCCAUCACGCCUGGCCUCCAAUCUUCCUUUUAAUAAUUUGAUCUGGAAUUUUAUCAGGGAGCUAUGCAUGCAUGUCAGGGGAGAUCAAGUUUAUGGUUUCCAGAAUCUACACUUUCUUUUUGAGAAUGGGAACUUUUGCCAGUACAUUGUUUUCCUAUCCUCAUUUCCAUAAUUUCUCAACAACAGUAAGUAGUUUUAAGGUCACAUUUGCAAGUUUUUUGAGGAGCCUGGGAUGUAACUUUUCUGGAGACUUCAACCUACUUUAAAUGGUCACAUGCCCCCUGUGUCCCUCACUGCCUCCCUUCUGCUGAGCUCUCCCCAGUCCUGGGAAGGCUGAUUCUUUAGCUAGAGAACCCAGACCAGCCCUGUGGCCUCAUAUUUCCACAUCAGCCUUCUUGAAUCUGUGUUCCUCCCCCCUCACUUAUCUUUUUACAUCAAACACAUGGCUCAAAGCUUUUGAUAUUUGACUUGACUCUUCAGGACCCCAAGCUCCUCUGACUCAGCCCUCCACCCCCCACCCCUAACCCACGGCCCACUCUGCUUGAGGGCUCCCCAAAACCUCAAACUCCACCGUAAGCUCCCUGAGCAGCCACAAGGAUUUUGGGGUUUGGUUUGGUUUUGCCUCUUACUCCCUUUUCAUUUUCCCUGGCAUCAUUCACAUUCACCAAUCAGAUUCAUUUUUAUCAUCUCCUAUUCCUCAUGAGAAAUACAUUUUUUUAUAACCUUUUACCUUGAAUUCAAAUCCAUUUUUCCUCUGAAGCACCUGAGGUGAGGUGGGUAUCUCCUCUUGUCCUAAUCUUAUCCACAUGCCAUGAUAUGGUUUGUCUGUGUCCCUACCCAAAUCUCAUCUUGAAUCAUAGCUCCUGUAAUCCCCAUGUGUUGUGGGAAGAACCUGGUGGGAGGUAAUUGAAUCAGAGGGGUGGGUUUUUCCCAUGCUGUUCUUGUGAUAAUGAAUAAGUUUCAUGAGAUCUGAUGGUUUUAUAAAGGCGAGUUCCCCUGCAAAAUGCUCUCUUUCCUGCCACCAUGUAAGAUGUGACUUUGCUUCUCCUUUGCUUCCACCAUGAUUGUGAGUCCUCCCCAGCCAUGUGGAACUGUGAGUCAAUUAAACCUCUUUCCUUUAUAAAUUACCCAGUCUCAGAUAUGUCUUUAUUAGCAGCAUCAAAACAGACUAAUACACACCACCAGUUUUCCUCCUGCAUGUUCCUCAGUUCUGCUAGAACUGUAAAAAGAUGGAUUCCAUAGACUGGAGUCACCCUGAGGGCAGGGAUGGACCCCUAU
rnacentral:lncRNA from 1 species